AUUAAACCUUUCGUAAAACACUACAAUAUCAAAAUUCAAAUAUUGAUAUCAAAAUUCAAUUUUUUUGAUUUUUCGUGCCUCCCUCCUAAUAUUACAGAAUUCAUUACAGUAAAAUCUGUGUUUUUCAUCCCAAAAUAUGGAUGAACAAUUUCCUUCAGUGCGGAUUACUAGAGGGUCAAUUGCUAAAGCUAAAGUCAUGUCUGAAAGUAGAACAGAGCAAGAUUAAAAGUUUUGAAGGAAAAAAGAGAUGAAAAAAAAGGAUUCGGAGUCUGAGCAGUUGGUUUCCAACAAUAAAAAGAAAAACAAAAGAAUCGUCUUCUAGAAAAAAUGACUUCCAAACACAUGGUGAAGAUGAUGAUGCUGAGGAACAUGGAGGUGGAGAUAACGAGGUAUUUCUAUCUUUUUAUUUUUUUUAUUAUUUGAAUAUGUAUAAAUAAUUUCAAUUGUUAGAUUGUAUACAUCAUUUUAUUUGGGUUGUAUAAUACAUUAUUUGUAUAAGAUUUUUCAAUAAUUUCGAGCAUA